AGAGUUUGAUCCUGGCUCAGGAUGAACGCUGGCGGCGUGCUUAACACAUGCAAGUCGAGCGAAGCACCUAAGAAAGAUUCUUCGGAUGAAUUCUUUUGUGACUGAGCGGCGGACGGGUGAGUAACGCGUGGGUAACCUGCCUCAUACAGGGGGAUAACAGUUAGAAAUGACUGCUAAUACCGCAUAAGACCACGGUACCGCAUGGUACAGUGGUAAAAACUCCGGUGGUAUGAGAUAGACCCGCGUCUGAUUAGCUGGUUGGUGGGGUAACGGCCUACCAAGGCGACGAUCAGUAGCCGACCUGAGAGGGUGACCGGCCACAUUGGGACUGAGACACGGCCCAAACUCCUACGGGAGGCAGCAGUGGGGAAUAUUGCACAAUGGGGGAAACCCUGAUGCAGCGACGCCGCGUGAAGGAUGAAGUAUUUCGGUAUGUAAACUUCUAUCAGCAGGGAAGAAAAUGACGGUACCUGACUAAGAAGCCCCGGCUAACUACGUGCCAGCAGCCGCGGUAAUACGUAGGGGACAAGCGUUAUCCGGAUUUACUGGGUGUAAAGGGAGCGUAGACGGCAUUGCAAGCCAGAUGUGAAAGCCCGGGGCUCAACCCCGGGACUGCAUUUGGAACUGUAGAGCUAGAGUGUCGGAGAGGCAAGUGGAAUUCCUAGUGUAGCGGUGAAAUGCGUAGAUAUUAGGAGGAACACCAGUGGCGAAGGCGGCUUGCUGGACGAUGACUGACGUUGAGGCUCGAAAGCGUGGGGAGCAAACAGGAUUAGAUACCCUGGUAGUCCACGCCGUAAACGAUGACUACUAGGUGUCGGGUAGCAAAGCUAUUCGGUGCCGCAGCAAACGCAAUAAGUAGUCCACCUGGGGAGUACGUU
rnacentral:rRNA from 1 species